rnacentral:lncRNA from 1 species
AGCUGCUAUGGCACCGCCAUUCAGUCAAAAAUCAUACUUAAUAUUUGCAUACUUGAUAGCAGCAUUCUCCCCACAGAACCAUGUGAAACUACAGGAAGAAAACAUCAAAGCAAAAAAAAAAUGGCAGUUUUCCAUCAGUAUUCAAAAACCUAGAAUGAAGUUACUAAGUAGAUGAACACUCACUGAGUAUUAAUCAAUAUGUACAUUCUUGACUGUUUCCCAUUCUGCUCCAAUAGAAUUGUCAAGUGUCAGCUUUGUGUACUCUAUUUUUGGCCAAACUGAGUUUUUCCAGUUCACAGUUCACUGCAUGCUUGGAAUAAAGAGGGUCAUUAUAAAUCCUUCUACACAACGAACUUUAAGUAGACAGCUGAAAAGAAAAUGUACUACUUGUAAACACACAAAAAAAUACAAGCUCUUUUUGUUUCAAGUGAGCACUGGUUCUAGACAGAUUAUCUUCGGUAUCUACCUCUUUCUCCUCUGUCUCUGUCCCGGUCACAAAUCCUCUCUCUCUCCCUUUCCCUGUCACGGCCUCUGUCACGUUCUCUGUCUCUUCUAUUAUCUCUAGGCCGGUCCCGUUCCCGCUCUCGAUCCCUCUCUCGAGGCCUGCUUCUCCGACCGCUGACAACUGCUUGUGUGCGGCGAAGAAAGUCGUCUACCCUCAUGUCAUAGUCGUGUACUCGUUUGUCUCUAUAUCUUGCUUCAUGUGGUACAGGAUGAUGUCCUGAGUAUGGAGGGUGAGCUUGAGGUGGAGGUGCAUGGUGCUGAUAGUAAGGAUGGUGUGGUGGCUGCUCCAUACCUGGAUACGGUGGCAUUCCUUGCCAUGGUGGCGGUGGUCCCAUGUUGUGGAAUUCCCUCACGUAAUCAUUGUAGGACCCAUUUAAAAACACAUCUCGUCGAACUCCUGAAAAUCGUCUGUCGACUUCAGGAUACCUGGGAUCCUUUAUAUACCCUGGUCUUUGGUGAAACUCAGGGGGAUAGUCAAUCCUUGGUUUCUUCCUGCUGUUAUGAAUAUCAUAAUCUUCUGGUCGACGCCUUCCCACGUCCCGAACGGGGUCUCGACGAGAUGGUCGUCCUCUUGAUCGGGGCUGUGAGUGCAUUCUUCUCUUGUGCCUCAUUUUAUGAAUGAGUUGAUACAAGUCAAUACUUUCAUCAGGAGGGAACAGAAGACAAAGCUGGGUUCCACAUUCCGGCUCAAUUUCCUGUCCAUCGCGUCCAAUCUUUACUGGCUUAUGUUCGUUCCAAGGAUUGGUCAGAUGAGCAGACUUAGUGAACGGCAAUUCACGCCUACAAAUCCAGUCAAUUUUAAAUACACCUCCCA